GGAGGGGGCGAGCGUUAUUCGGAAUCAUUGGGCGUAAAGGGCGCGUANGCGGCCCCGUAAGUCUUGGGUGAAAGCCCUCGGCUCAACCGAGGAAUUGCCUUGGAUACUGCGGGGCUCGAGGCUGGAAGAGGGCAGUGGAAUUCCCGGUGUAGCGGUGAAAUGCGCAGAUAUCAGGAGGAACACCGGUGGCGAAGGCGGUUCUCUGGGCAUUACCUGACGCUGAGGAGCGAAAGUGUGGGGAGCGAACAGGAUUAGAUACCCUGGUAGUCCACACCGUAAACGUUGGGCGCUAGGUGUGGGACUCAUUCCACGAGUUCCGUGCCGCAGCUAACGCAUUAAGCGCCCCGCCUGGGGAGUACGGCCGCAAGGCUA
rnacentral:rRNA from 1 species